CGGACAUCACUGCGCAGCGCACGCGCAAUAGCUCCAGAGAGGGACGUACCACCGCCAGUGGGAACGAAAAGCAGAACUGCAGAAUUGCUGGAUUGGACAUGGGCUGUCAGAAGCCAAAGAUGACUGUAGUAUUUCUGCCCUGAUCAGCUAGAAGAAUGGAGUUGCCAGAUACCAAGAUAUGGAAGAAGGUACAAGGAACAGAAUUCAGCAGUGAAGCCAUCCAGACCUGGGCUUUUCUUUGUUGGUGCAUCUAUUUCCUGGAAAUGUCUCAAAUUUGUCCUUUAUUUCCAAAUAGUAUUCCAUUAUGUAUAGAUAUCACAUUUUCUUUAUCCAAUCAUCUGUUAAUGGGUAUACAGGUUGCUUCCAGAAUUUAUUUACUAUGAAUUGUGCUUCUAUAAACACUGGUAUGCACUAUAGUAUGAUGUCUUUCACUCUUUGAGGAAGAUACCUGGCAAGGAGAU
ensembl:lncRNA